UACGUAGGGUGCAAGCGUUGUCCGGAAUUAUUGGGCGUAAAGAGCUCGUAGGCGGUUUGUUGCGUCGGCUGUGAAAACCUGAGGCUCAACCUCAGGCCUGCAGUCGAUACGAGCAGACUAGAGUGUUGCAGGGGAGACUGGAAUUCCUGGUGUAGCGGUGAAAUGCGCAGAUAUCAGGAGGAACACCGGUGGCGAAGGCGGGUCUCUGGGCAACUCCUGACACUGAGGCACGAAAGCUAGGGGAGCAAACAGG
rnacentral:rRNA from 1 species